rnacentral:rRNA from 1 species
AGUGAACGCUGGCGGUAGGCCUAACACAUGCAAGUCGAACGGCAGCACAGUAAGAGCUUGCUCUUACGGGUGGCGGGUGGCGGAAGGGUGAGGAAUACAUCGGAAUCUACUUUUUCGUGGGGGAUAACGUAGGGAAACUUACGCUAAUACCGCAUACGACCUACGGGUGAAAGCAGGGGAUCUUCGGACCUUGCGCGAUUGAAUGAGCCGAUGUCGGAUUAGCUAGUUGGCGGGGUAAAGGCCCACCAAGGCGACGAUCCGUAGCUGGUCUGAGAGGAUGAUCAGCCACACUGGAACUGAGACACGGUCCAGACUCCUACGGGAGGCAGCAGUGGGGAAUAUUGGACAAUGGGCGCAAGCCUGAUCCAGCCAUACCGCGUGGGUGAAGAAGGCCUUCGGGUUGUAAAGCCCUUUUGUUGGGAAAGAAAAGCAGCAGGUUAAUACCCCGCUGUUCUGACGGUACCCAAAGAAUAAGCACCGGCUAACUUCGUG